GACAGAGGAUGCAAGCGUUAUCCGGAAUGAUUGGGCGUAAAGCGUCUGUAGGUGGCUUUUUUAAGUCCGCCGUCAAAUCCCAGGGCUCAACCCUGGACAGGCGGUGGAAACUACCAAGCUGGAGUACGGUAGGGGGCAGAGGGAAUUUCCGGUGGAGCGGUGAAAGUGCGUAGAGAUCGGAAAGAACACCAACGGCGAAAGCACUCUGCUGGGCCGACACUGACACUGGAGAGACGAAAGCUAGGGGAGCGAAUGGG
rnacentral:rRNA from 1 species